GACGAACGCUGGCGGCGUGCUUAACACAUGCAAGUCGAACGGAAAGGCCCUGCUUUUGUGGGGUGCUCGAGUGGCGAACGGGUGAGUAACACGUGAGUAACCUGCCCUUGACUUUGGGAUAACUUCAGGAAACUGGGGCUAAUACCGGAUAGGAGCUCCUGCUGCAUGGUGGGGGUUGGAAAGUUUCGGCGGUUGGGGAUGGACUCGCGGCUUAUCAGCUUGUUGGUGGGGUAGUGGCUUACCAAGGCUUUGACGGGUAGCCGGCCUGAGAGGGUGACCGGCCACAAUACGACUGCGAUACGGCCCAGACUCCUACGGGAGGCAACAGUGGAGAAUAUUACACAAUGGGCGGAAGCCUGAUGCAACAACGCCGCGUGCGGGAUGACGGCCUUCGGGUUGUAAACCGCUUUCGCCUGUGACGAAGCGUGAGUGACGGUAAUGGGUAAAGAAGCACCGGCUAACUACGUG
rnacentral:rRNA from 1 species